rnacentral:rRNA from 1 species
AGUGAACGCUGGCGGUAGGCCUAACACAUGCAAGUCGAACGGCAGCACAGUAAGAGCUUGCUCUUACGGGUGGCGAGUGGCGGACGGGUGAGGAAUACAUCGGAAUCUACUUUUUCGUGGGGGAUAACGUAGGGAAACUUACGCUAAUACCGCAUACGACCUACGGGUGAAAGCAGGGGAUCUUCGGACCUUGCGCGAUUGAAUGAGCCGAUGUCGGAUUAGCUAGUUGGCGGGGUAAAGGCCCACCAAGGCGACGAUCCGUAGCUGGUCUGAGAGGAUGAUCAGCCACACUGGAACUGAGACACGGUCCAGACUCCUACGGGAGGCAGCAGUAGGGAAUAUUGGGCAAUGGGCGAAAGCCUGAUCCAGCCAUACCGCGUGGGUGAAGAAGGCCUUCGGGUUGUAAAGCCCUUUUGUUGGGAAAGAAAAGCAGCAGGUUAAUACCCCGCUGUUCUGACGGUACCCAAAGAAUAAGCACCGGCUAACUUCGUG